GGCAACCUGGCCGAGUGGUCUAAGGCGCCAGGUUCAGGUAUCCUGGUCUCUUCGGAGGCGAGAGUUCGAAUCUCUCGGUUGUCA